rnacentral:sRNA from 1 species
UAUAUAUAAUGCGUUAAAUAUUAAAUUAAUAUAAAUUUGAAUAAUACAUUUAAAUGUCAAUUUCAAGCCAAUUUCUGCUAAAGCGCCCCAUUUUAGAAACAUUUUGUAAUAGAAACAUGACAUGAAUCACUUCCUAAAUAAAUCGUUAGGUCAAAAGUAGUUUUGGACUAGAAGAAGUAAGUAAUACACGUUUCAAGUGCACGCACGAAUUUAGUCUCCUCACUGACGCCAAGCCCACAUUGAUUUCCAAAGUCUUCUUGCCUGGUAGUUAUCUUCCACGUCCGAUACGAUAGGAUACCCAGCCCAGUCAAUGAGCUCACUACAGCAGGAACCGUUUUCAAACUACGAGCUAAUGAAUUUAUUUUCAAAAGUCAUACGCAUUGUUUGUGCAACAAUUUAUCACCGCCGGAGUCUCGGAUCACAUUAGAAGCACGCUUUGUUCGCCGAAUAUGGCAGAAAAUCCAAAGCCGGCAGCCAGCAGCCCCAUCAAUCACCGGCUGACAAGCCACCUAAAUACAAUAUAAAUAUAUUGAGCUGCCAGGGAGGUCAGUCGCAGUCCACAGUCGUUAUAAUCUUGGAAAGGCUAACCCCGCCGACUUAUCGCAUAUGUGCAUUACAUUAAGCUUAAUUAGUCUUUCAGAGAGUUGACUGGAGGAGAAAAUAUUAUUUAUACACAGGAACAACAAAAGAUCAAUAUUACCCAGACAUAUCCCCGAAUCAUAUUUAUUUCAUUGAUUUGAAUGGUUUUCGUUCACACAUUGCGUUCAAUGUAGUCUGGAGCUGUGGGAAAGCUCGGACUCUGAUUAAUGAAGCGUUGUAUUUGUGCAUAAAUUGCGGCACGUAUAAUAAAUUACGCCAAAUAAUAAAUUGUAAAUUAUGCAAAGCGAAA